AAAGAGCGAUGAUGAGAGGCGUCGUGAAUGCGAAGCAUUCACCGGGGCAAACGGGUGAGUAACGCGUAGACAACCUGCCGUAAAAUGGGGACAACAGUUCGAAAGGACUGCUAGUACCGAAUGCUUUACGAUGGGUCUGCGUCUGAUUAGCUAGUUGGUGGGGUAACAGCCUACCAAGGCGACGAUCAGUAGCCGGUCUGAGAGGAUGAACGGCCACAUUGGAACUGAGACACGGUCCAGACUCCUACGGGAGGCAGCAGUGGGGAAUCUUCCGCAAUGGGCGCAAGCCUGACGGAGCAACGCCGCGUGAGUGAAGAAGGGUUUCGACUCGUAAAGCUCUGUUGUCGGGGACGCGGUACCUGACGAGGAAGCCACGGCUAACUACGUGCCAGCAGCCGCGGUAAUACGUAGGUGGCGAGCGUUGUCCGGAAUUAUUGGGCGUAAAGGGAGCGCAGGCGGGAAGGUAAGUCUACCUUAAAAGUGCGGGGCUCAACCCCGUGAGGGGAUGGAAACUAUCUUUCUUGAGUGCAGGAGAGGAAAGCGGAAUUCCUAGUGUAGCGGUGAAAUGCGUAGAUAUUAGGAGGAACACCAGUGGCGAAGGCGGCUUUCUGGACUGUACUGACGCUGAGGCUCGAAAGCGUGGGGAGCGAACAGGAUUAGAUACCCUGGUAGUCCACGCCGUAAACGAUGAAUGCUAGGUGUAGGA
rnacentral:rRNA from 1 species